AUCAUCUUCUUCAUCUUCUCUAGGGUUUAACAUCUUCUCAAUUCUACAGAACCAGCCAUGGCGCGUAACGAAGAGAAAGCUCAAUCAAUGUUAAACAGGUUCAUCACAAUGAAAGAGGAAGAAAAGAAGAAACCCAAAGAACGCCGUCCUUAUUUAGCCUCCGAGUGCCGUGAUUUAGCUGAAGCGGAUAAAUGGAGGCAGCAAAUCAUGAGAGAAAUCGGUCGAAAAGUAACUGAGAUUCAAAAUGAAGGACUUGGGGAACAUCGAUUGAGAGACCUGAAUGAUGAGAUUAAUAAGUUGAUUAGAGAGAAAGUUCAUUGGGAGAGGAGGAUUAUUGAACUUGGCGGGCCGAAUUAUACUAAGCAUUCAGCGAAGAUGACGGAUUUGGAUGGAAAUAUUGUUGAUGUACCGAAUCCGGGUGGACGUGGUCCUGGGUAUAGGUAUUUUGGUGCUGCGAAAAAGUUGCCUGGUGUUAGGGAGCUGUUUGAGAAACCUCCUGAAUUGCGAAAAAGAAGAACUAGGUAUGAUAUAUACAAGAGGAUUGAUGCCAGCUACUAUGGGUACAGAGAUGAAGAGGACGGAAUAUUGGUAAAGUUGGAGGGUCCAGCAGAGAAAAAGAUGCGCGCUGCAGCUGUGAAAGAAUGGAUGGAAAUGGAAGAGAUAAAGAGGGAAGCCAAAAAGGCGG
rnacentral:misc_RNA from 1 species